GGCGAUCGGCCACACUGGGACUGAGAUACGGCCCAGACUCCUACGGGAGGCAGCAGUAGGGAAUAUUGCACAAUGGACGAAAGUCUGAUGCAGCAACGCCGCGUGGAUGAUGAAGCUCCUUGGAGUGUAAAACCCUGUCAGUGGGGAAGAAACGUGUUGGGAGUAACUGCCCUUCACCUGACGGUACCCACAGAGGAAGUCCCGGCUAACUCCGUGCCAGCAGCCGCGGUAAUACGGGGGGGACAAGCGUUGUUCGGAUUCACUGGGCGUAAAGGGCGCGUAGGCGGACCCUCAAGUCGGGUGUGAAAACUGGCGGCUUAACUGCCAGCCUGCACUCGAUACUGGUGGUCUUGAGUACAGUAGAGGAAAGCGGAAUUCCAGGUGUAGCGGUGAAAUGCGUAGAUAUCUGGAAGAACACCAGUAGCGAAGGCGGCUUUCUGGGCUGAUACUGACGCUGAAGCGCGAAGGCUUGGGUAGCAAACAGGAUUAGAUACCCUGGUAGUCCAAGCGGUAAACGAUGGGUACUAGGUGUCGGGGGUAUCGACCCCUUCGGUGCCGCAGCUAACGCAUUAAGUACCCCGCCUGGGGAGUACGAUCGCAAGAUUGAAACUCAAAGGAAUUGACGGGGGCCCGCACAAGCGGUGGAGUAUGUGGUUUAAUUCGAGGCAACGCGAAGAACCUUACCUGGGUUUGACAUGCUUGAGACAGCCGGUGAAAGCCGGUUUCCCUUCGGGGCUCUUGCACAGGUGCUGCAUGGCUGUCGUCGGCUCGUGCCGUGAGGUGUUGGGUUAAGUCCCGCAACGAGCGCAACCCUUGUCCAUAGUUGCCAUCAGGUAAUGCUGGGAACUCUAUGGAGACUGCCGGUGAUAAGCUGGAGGAAGGUGGGGAUGACGUCAAGUCCUCAUGGCCCUUAUAUCCAGGGCUACACACGUACUACAAUGGUCGGUACAGAAGGUCGCAAUACCGUGAGGUGGAGCCAAUCCUGAAAACCGGCCCCAGUUCGAAUUGGAGUCUGCAACUCGACUCCAUGAAGUCGGAAUCGCUAGUAAUCGCUGAUCAGCAAGCAGCGGUGAAUACGUUCCCGGGCCUUGUACACACCGCCCGUCAAGCCACGGAAGUUGGGAGCACCCGAAGUCGUUUGCCUAACCGCAAGGAAGGCGAUGCCUAAGGUGAAACCAGUGACUGGGGCUAAGUCGUAACAAGGUA
rnacentral:rRNA from 1 species